UGUGAUUUUUUUCCCCCUGUGACACCCCAUUGGGUUAUCUUAACUCUGUAAGCAAUUAUACUCUCUGGAAAUCAAUGGUGCAAUCCACUUUGAGAAAAAUACUAUAUCCUACCCUUCCAUGUAUGAAAUGACGACAAGUACUUUGGAAGCUAGGGAGACACAAAAGUUUAAAAUGCUACAAAUUAGCCUGCCUUUUCACAUUUUGUCUGCUUUGUGUUCUUUUUAGACUAGAUGGAUGAAAUUUUCAUCUUCCCGUGGGACUCAUGCAUGUACAGCUGUACAACUUGAUACGCUUACUAGCUGCUUGAUCGUGCCCUGAGGAAAUGUUCAGUGGGGCUUAAAAAUAGUUUGAUACUAUGGAUUCUUCUUUGUUCCAUUUGUUCACAAUGUAGAGACUAAUGGAAUAACCCUAGAUGUCGUAGAUUCGGCUUAGGGCCAUUUGUUUAAUUUUGAUGUUAGGACUCAUUCAUGAGAUUUUGUUAGUUUGGGUGCAUGAGACUUCAUCUGAAUUUCUGGAAUAAUGAACUAAUAUGCAAUGCAAGUUAAUUGUUUUCUAGUGCUUAUGAAAAUGAAUGGUUAUAAUGAUUUGACCUAAAGGUUGACAUUAUGUUUUGAUACUCAUAGACACUGUAGAUCACAGAACAUGGAGCUUGGGUAAGGUCUUUUCUAUCCAUGAAAUUGCAUUUUUGAUUGAUAUUAUUUGUAUCUUUAACUAAUAUGAAGUAUGAAGUAGUGAGAGGGAAAAGAAAAAUACAUAAUAAUUAUGCAGAAAACUUUGGAUGAAUCUUCUAUUUGUUAGUGUAAGCAAAAUAACCAUUUUUGUCAGAUUUCAGGCAAUAUUUCAAAAUAUGGCAAUUAUUUUUUGGAAACUCCUGCGCCAAGUUUUUCAAAUGUCUGUCCAUUUAACACUUAUGAUGCAGUCCACAGUUCCCUCAUCCUUCUAGGCUCUAAUCUCGUGCUUUUGUUCUCAGCCGAGUACCAUUACCUCAGCAUUAUUGUGAAUGUACUCCAAGUUAGGCUUAUGCCUCUUGAAAUUUGGUAACUAGUUGGUCAGCUAGUUUAAGAUCUUAUGUUCUUUUGUACAAAUCUGGAUGCUUGCCAAUGAAAAGUUCAUCAUUCAUUCUGAUUAAAGUUGUGAUGGAAAUCUUCUUCUUAAAUGAAAACAAACUAGCAUUGUGCACAGCUUCAUGUCACACUGUUAAUUUUGCUUUAGUCUGUACUUUUCUAUAUAUGAAUUGGUUUAAACUGUACCUGCUUUGUAGUUACACCUCUUAAAGCUGUAUUUGGAGAUCAGACGAUUUUGAUCCAAGGUUAACAUGCAUCAUUUUGUUUAUGCAGAAGCUUUCACUAUUAGUUACAGAGGCAUACAAAGACGCACACCAGAAAAGUGUUCAGUCAAUGAAGGAGAGGAUGAGUAACCUUGCACAGAGUUUAGGGAUGCCUCAAGGCCUUGGUGAGGGAUUGAAGUGACCAUACUAUUCCAUGGUGCUGGUGAUAUGCAAGCUUCAAUUUUGUAUAGUACUUUACCAUGCCAUCAGUAUCUGAUCAAAUGUACUCAUGGUUUAUGGGAUGGUAGAAGAUUCAGAUCCUGUAAUCUUUGUCUUUGUUACUGAAAUAAGCAGGUUAAUCUA